AGUGAACGCUGGCGGUAGGCCUAACACAUGCAAGUCGAACGGCAGCACAGUAAGAGCUUGCUCUUACGGGUGGCGAGUGGCGGACGGGUGAGGAAUACAUCGGAAUCUACUUUUUCGUGGGGGAUAACGUAGGGAAACUUACGCUAAUACCGCAUACGACCUACGGGUGAAAGCAGGGGAUCUUCGGACCUUGCGCGAUUGAAUGAGCCGAUGUCGGAUUAGCUAGUUGGCGGGGUAAAGGCCCACCAAGGCGACGAUCCGUAGCUGGUCUGAGAGGAUGAUCAGCCACACUGGAACUGAGACACGGGCCAGAAUCCUACGGGAGGCAGCAGUGGGGAAUUUUGGAAAAUGGGCGCAAGCCUGAUCCAGCCACCCCGCGUGGGUGAAGAAGGCCUUCGGGUUGUAAAGCCCUUUUGUUGGGAAAAAAAAGCAGCAGGUUAAACCCCCGCUGUUCUGACGGUACCAAAAGAAUAAGCACCGGCUAACUUCGG
rnacentral:rRNA from 1 species